UUUUUAUAAUUUACCGAUUCUGUGGCUUUCAGUUUUCACAAUUUUUUGGUAACUUCUUUUCCCCAAAGAAUAUUGCUCUCUUCUUCGCCGGUUCCGUCGCGAACUAAUUUUCACCUCCCCAACUUCUGCCUGACUUUCUUCCGUAGGGCUGCUGGUAUCCGAUUCUUGUUUACAAUCUGUUCCCAUUCUUCCUUUGCUAUCUUCGCUGCUAACAUUGUUGAAAUUGUUCGGUAUUGCCAUUUCCCGAGUUUGAAUAGCUUCUUGUAGGGAUUGGCUCUCAACCGAAGGCCAUUCAGGUACCUUCUUCGUCCCUCUCAAUUACCCUUUUUGUAUUUGCAUUUUAGGGAGUACUUCGUAUGGAUAUGUCACUAUGAUCAAUCCUAUUCCUGUUUCAAGAACGGGUGUUUGUUCUAGUCUUAAGGGAAAGUGAAGUAUUCUCUUUCAUUGUAGGUCGGAUUUUUAGUCAUUUUUUAUUUUGUUAUUCCACUCAUUGAAUUUAGUUGUUAAGUAGCAGGACUGGAACUACAAUAGAGUAAUGGCGUCUUCAGAUGAUGAGGCUGAGACCUUACCAGUACCACCUGUCUCAAAU
rnacentral:lncRNA from 1 species